GACGAAUGCGGGAACGUUGCGAUAUUUCCUGCUUAAUAUUUUCAGAUAUGGGAAAAGCUCUUAAGAUGAGCACACGUUUCAGGAACGUUAAAAUUAAGUUGGUGAGGAGGUCUAUCGCUGGCCCUGCGAAGUUUUCUUACCUCAGUCAAGGUCUUCCCCAGCCCAGCUACAAACAGACCCACCCUUCAGACCCUUCUAUUACAUCUCAACCUGCUGAACCUGAUGAUGCGACACAAGCUGUUCUGAGAGCGCAUACAGUAAGGCAAAGAAGAGAGAGCUUCAUGCCUGGGAUGCAGUCAAGGAUGAGAUGCUUAAGGUGACAUUUGAAUGUACAGCACCGAUCACUACCCAGUGUGCUGUCUGCUGAGAACAUGCUGAUUAUAGGUGCAUUGAGUGCAGCUCCACUGCAGUGUUCUGUGAGGUUUGCCUGAAGAGGAUUCACAGAAAUUCACUGCAUCUUCCUGAAAAGUGGAAUAAUGUUUACUAUGAGCCAUCCUCCCUGGGGUUAUUCUUAUAUUUAACUGAAGGCCAUGGCACC